rnacentral:rRNA from 1 species
CCUAACACAUGCAAGUCGAACGGUAACAGGAAGAAGCUUCGCUUCUUUCGCUGACGAGUGGCGGACGGGUGAGUAAUGUCUGGGAAACUGCCUGAUGGAGGGGGAUAACUACUGGAAACGGUAGCUAAUACCGCAUAACGUCGCAAGACCAAAGAGGGGGACCUUCGGGCCUCUUGCCAUCGGAUGUGCCCAGAUGGGAUUAGCUAGUAGGUGGGGUAACGGCUCACCUAGGCGACGAUCCCUAGCUGGUCUGAGAGGAUGACCAGCCACACUGGAACUGAGACACGGUCCAGACUCCUACGGGAGGCAGCAGUGGGGAAUAUUGCACAAUGGGCGCAAGCCUGAUGCAGCCAUGCCGCGUGUAUGAAGAAGGCCUUCGGGUUG